GUAGGGAAUAUUGGGCAAUGGGCGCAAGCCUGACCCAGCCAUGCCGCGUGAGGGAAGAAGGCCCACUGGGUUGUAAACCUCUUUUCACCGGGACUAAAGCUAUUAUAACUUAAGAGUGUGCAUGUACCGGUGGAAUAAGCACCGGCAAACUACGUGCCAGCAGCCGCGGUAAUACGUAGGGUGCAAGCUUUGUCCGGAUUUACUGGGUUUCAAGGGUGCGCAGGCGGGCUAUUAAGUCUGUGAUGAAAUGGCAGGAAUCAACCUUGGCGAUGUUGCGGAAACUAAUAGUCUUGAAAUCUGCUGAGGUAGCUGGAAUGAGUGGUGUAGCGGUGAAAUGCGUAGAGAUCACUCGGAACACCGAUUGCGAAGGCAGGUUACUAAGCAGCAUCUGACGCUCAGGCACGAAAGCGUGGGUAGCAAGCAGGAUUAGAAACCCCUGUAGUAC
rnacentral:rRNA from 1 species